GAUGAACGCUGGCGGCGUGCCUAAUACAUGCAAGUCGAGCGAACGGACGAGAAGCUUGCUUCUCUGAUGUUAGCGGCGGACGGGUGAGUAACACGUGGAUAACCUACCUAUAAGACUGGGAUAACUUCGGGAAACCGGAGCUAAUACCGGAUAAUAUUUUGAACCGCAUGGUUCAAAAGUGAAAGACGGUCUUGCUGUCACUUAUAGAUGGAUCCGCGCUGCAUUAGCUAGUUGGUAAGGUAACGGCUUACCAAGGCAACGAUGCAUAGCCGACCUGAGAGGGUGAUCGGCCACACUGGAACUGAGACACGGUCCAGACUCCUACGGGAGGCAGCAGUAGGGAAUCUUCCGCAAAGGGCGAAAGCCUGACGGAGCAACGCCGCGUGAGUGAUGAAGGUCUUCGGAUCGUAAAACUCUGUUAUUAGAGAAGAACAUAUGUGUAAGUAACUGUGCACAUCUUGACGGUACCUAAUCAGAAAGCCACGGCUAACUACGUG
rnacentral:rRNA from 1 species